rnacentral:rRNA from 1 species
GACGAACGCUGGCGGCGUGCUUAACACAUGCAAGUCGAACGGAAAGGCCCUGCUUUUGUGGGGUGCUCGAGUGGCGAACGGGUGAGUAACACGUGAGUAACCUGCCCUUGACUUUGGGAUAACUUCAGGAAACUGGGGCUAAUACCGGAUAGGAGCUCCUGCUGCAUGGUGGGGGUUGGAAAGUUUCGGCGGUUGGGGAUGGACUCGCGGCUUAUCAGCUUGUUGGUGGGGUAGUGCUUACCAAGGCUUUGACGGGUAGCCGGCCUGGGAGGGUGACCGGGCACAUUGGGACUGAGAGACGGCCCAGACGCCUACGGGAGGCAGUAGUGGGGAAUAUUGCGCAAUGGGCGGAAGCCUGAUGCAGCAACGCCGCGUGCGGGAUGACGGCCUUCGGGUUAUAAACCGCUUUCGCCUGUGACGAAGCGUGAGUGACGGUAAUUGGUAAAGAAGCACCGGCUAACUACGUG